rnacentral:rRNA from 1 species
UACAUACUGGCCACCCGGCGAAGCAGCCACCCCAGCAGUACGUAACCGACCCAAACGGCGGCGGGCGGGCGUGGGGAGGGAGGAGGGAGCAGAGUCGGCGGUGGGGGUGCUUGGGAUCAACGCGGGAGGACGUAGGAGGGGAGGGACCAGGCGGGGUUCUAGGAGGAGGAGGCAGGAGUGUACGAGGUGGGACUCGUGCGGCAGCCGCUCCGCGUGGCGUUCCGGGGCCUCGUUGAGUCGGUCUCGGGGAGGCAUGUCCUCCUUGGGGCGCCGGUCGCGUUGGUUGUUGCCACCGCGUAUGUUCUCGAGCCGGAACUACCCGGCGCGCGACAUGCGCUCCCAGUGCAGGCGCGACCUCCCGUCGUUGCUCGUGUACCACACCAUGUUCCUCCACGCGUCCCUCUUCCACGUGCCGAGGCGGAUCGUGGUAAAGUACAAGUAACGGAACGACACCAACGUGGCACCCCAACAAUACGAGACAGGGAGCUCCUUCUUUAUCUUCAACUCCCCUUCGAUAACGUACGACCCUUUAGUCAACCACAACAGAUACAACCAAAGGCCUUCUUUUCCUGGCCGUUUAACUACCGAGUCCGUGCAGCAUGUUUCAUGGAACGAUACAACUAAGCUCUUCUCUUUCCUCAACAGCCGCACCACACCACGCUCUGGAAACAGGGCCUCGUACGUCUAACAGUCAUAUUUUAUUCCAUAAAAUUACAAAAUCACAAGAGGUUGACGUCGCCGGUACAGCACUGACGGCACAACUCAAGAACGUGUUCGUGUUGGAGAUCGGGUUAUAUAUGGCCUAACUCAUGACGUGAAAAUUGAAUAUAUGGUACCAGCACGGACUACUAACGACAGUACGAAACCUAGGGUUUUUAAUACGUGUUGCUGUAACCGUAGUAUCUGUUCAGCAAACCCGAAGUUUGACGUCACCCCUAACGAGUCGUCCGCUAGCUACGCCGUGUACACCUCCAACACUCGAAACACUUACCGUAGCCAGAACAGUUUGAAUCCCCGUCCUAGCGACCAUUCCUCAAUAAGGUGCCUGACUACUGGUCUUAGUUCUCGUCCUACUCAGACCGUUGACAGGACGUACCAAUU